UGGGGAAUUUUGGACAAUGGGCGAAAGCCUGAUCCAGCCAUGCCGCGUGUGUGAAGAAGGCCUUCGGGUUGUAACGCACUCCAAGCGAGGAGUAAUGACCUCUGGGUUAAUACCCUUGAGCAGUGACGUUACUCGCAGAAUAAGCACCGGCUAACUCUGUGCCAGCAGCCGCGGUAAU
rnacentral:rRNA from 1 species